rnacentral:misc_RNA from 1 species
GAAGUGCGAUAAGUAAUGUGAAUUGCAGUAUUCCGUGAAUCAUCGAAUCUUUGAACGCAUAUUGCACUUUCUGGUAUUCCGGAAAGUAUGCCUGUUUGAGGGUCAGUUAAAUAAAAAUCGGUGUUGUUGCUGCCUUUCGUGGUGACGCGUCAGAAUUGAGUUGUCUUACCUUCGGUUAAGUGACUUAAAAUUUUGUAUGAUUUUUGAACGUAUUUAAAUUUAUUUGUACGUUUGAGAUAUCGAAUGUUUAUUAGGUUCGGUCAUUCUAAUGACUCGCGCCUAUAGUUUUUCAUUAAAUGACCUCAAAUCAGGUAAGAAUACCCGCUGAACUUAA